rnacentral:lncRNA from 1 species
CUCGCGGCAUAUGGAGAUUCCCAGGCUAGGGGUCUAAUCGGAGCCGUAGCCAUAGCCCCCUGCCUACCCCAGAGCCACAGAAAUGCGGGAUCCGAGCCACGUCUGAAGCCUACACCAUAGCUCAUGGCAACGCCGGAUCCUUAACCCACUAAGCGAGGCCAGGGAUCGAACCUGCAAUCUCAUGGUUCCUAGUCAGAUUAGUUAACCACUGUGCCAUGAUGGGAACUCCCCAAAACUUCCAAUUUUCUAAUAGAAAUCUCAAGUCAGGAAUGUUAAAUGAGACUUUCUGAUAUUUAAAAUAGCACGUGAGCUCAAGAGUUUACAACCCAUGGAAUAAAUGAUAAAUAGCCCGUGCUGCACCUGGGCCCCAGCACUGCUGGGCACAGUUACCACCUGCACAGAGAACACAAUGCCAGGAGCAGCACCACAGCCUAUGCGGUGGGGGAGGGCCAGGCAUUAGGCCAAAGGCAGAUGCAAACACUACUCCUCAAAGCCCAGCUCCUCUGGAGGCUGUGGCCUCCUGGGACACUUUCUGGAAGAGAUCUGAUUUUUUAGGAAGGAAACAAUCAGGAAGUAGGAUUCACUCUAAGGAGCUCCCUUGUGGUGCAGCAGGUUAAGGAUCCGGAGUUGUCACUGCAGUGGCUCAGGUCGCUUCUGUGAUGAGGGUUCGAUACUUGGGCUGGGAGCUUCCACAUGCUGUGGGCAUAGCCAAAAAAAUGAAUAAAUAAAUAAAAAUAAAAGGAUUCACUCUGGGGUAAUUCACUUUAUUCAAGUUCACUUUACAAAAAUUCACUUCACAGCGAGUUUUGCCAAAAUGGAUCUAUAAGAGAUAGGAUGGGCAACAGCCUUUUCCCAGUAAAAACAUACAAGAUAGACUGAGCAUAAAGCCCUUAACUAGCUCACAGGCCCCUGUGAUUGAACAGAAACCAGUACUUAAAUAAAUAAUCCUACAAAACAAAAGCCUAUACCUUCCCUCCCAAACUCAAAGCAGGGGAGUGGGAGGAAAAGGGAGCUUGAGAGUCAUAAUCCCUUGCUUGGUUUUAAACAACUGACACAGGAUGCUGGGAAGCUACUGAUCCUCUUUAAGCCUCAAUUUCCUCAUCUGUAAAAUGGAGAUAACAACUGCACUCUCCCAUCAGGGUCCCUGGAAGGGAUGAGAGACAAAGCACCGCAGGCUGGAGAACGGUGGCAGAGGGAGGACCACGUUUGUGUAACAGAAAGGGAAGCGGGAAAUAGAAAUACUAACGGGAGGGAACAGCCAGUGAGAAUGUAUUUAGUACUUAGUACAGGGCCCUUGCCCACUUUAAGUAACCAAGAAAAAGUUAGCUCUUUGAGGGUUUUUUUUGGGGGGGGGGGGCCUUUUGUCUUUUUAGGGCUGCACCUACGGCAUAUGGCGGUUCCCAAUCUAGGGGUCAAAUCGGAGCUGUAGUCGCUGGCCCACACCACAGCUCACAGCAACGCCAGGUCCUUAACCCACUGAGCAAGGCCAGGGAUCAAACCCGCAACCUCAUGGAUACUAGUUGGCUUCAUUCGAACUCCCAGUGACUUGCAGGUUCCAGAGGGUAGAAGCAGGGUCUCCCAGGGCAGGUUACAACAGGGCUGGACUCACUUCAUAUUGCCAAACUUCCAAUUUUCUGGAAACUUCCAAUUUCCUGCUCCCUCUGGGAACAGCCAGGCCCAGAGUCACUCUCUGGCCUCUGGCCAAGAUGUAAGGCAGCCCCACGCCAGUCCCAGGCUUCCUGAAUCUUCAGCCUGUAUGCCCUGGGCUCCACCUCAUCCUGUCCUGGUGGAGAGUGACUUUCAGCUUUCCUGGCAGGGCAGUGAGAGCUGAGGUUGCAGCUGAGCCUGAGGAAGAAGGAGGCCUUGGCUCCCAGGCUGGACUAUCUAGUCUAACUGUCCAGAGUCCCACUUUGGGCCCCCAAACCAGCUGAAACCAUCCAUCAGCCUUUAGCCAACAGCCUGCCUCUAGGGUGCUCCUGGAUUCAUAGUUUAUCCCAAAGGUAAGCACCUUCUGUAUACAGACACAGGACAAAGAGCAAUAAAAAGGCACAGGCCCUGGCCUCCCACAAUCCACUUUUAUUUCUAACAGUAAAUCCUAAAUAGAACACAUUUUCAGGAAAAGAAAAAAAAAAAAGCGUCAGAAAUUACUCAAGCAGAUGUCCUGCACCUUCAUAUUAAAACGAUUCAUGCUUUUGGUUAUUGAACCAAUUCACGAGUUUGGGGGAGUUUAAGCAGCCCAAGUGUGUCUUGUAAUGAGCCCUCAAUGAAAAAAAAAAUGUCACAUACUCCCACUCCACAGCAUCCGUAACAGGUCCAGCCAGCCCACAAACAGUAGUACACUAGGUUUUUUCCUUCACUGAGGAACGAAUUUAUAUAGACUUAAUGGUGUGAUUUUGUUUUUAAACCUUAGCCUUUUGCAUUAACAUUUUCCAAUUAUUUACAUGCUGGUGAAUCCCAGGAUAUGGUUUUCCAACGCUAAUAGACAAGUCAAGUUGCCAUUAUUCUCUGUCCCUAAUGCUCCUUGUCCUGAUUUGCUUAUUUAAUAUAAAUCUAUGGUGAAGAACAUCACAGUCAAUGAAAGCCUGAUUUAGAAAUUAGUUAUCACCCAUCCUGGGUUUCCAAGUUAAAUUUAAGGCACACUAGCAUUUCAAAUCUGUCUGGGGAAAAAAGAAAAAAAAGAAAAAAAAAAAACCUCAAAAUAUAUUUCUGCCUCUUAGGGACUGUGGAACUUGGGUAGAAUUCCUAAAUCCUCUGGGCCUCAGUUUCAUCAUUGAUUACAUGGGAAGGUCUGUACCUACUCCACAGGGUUGUAGUAGGGAAAUAAGACAUGCAAAGUAAGUAUUAGCUACUUUGAUUAAUAUUUUUUUCAAAACCAUUGUGAGAUAGUGGAACGUGGUGGUUAAAGAGGAACAGGGUCUGGGGGCCUGGGUUCAAGCCCCAACUUUUCCAUUCAUAACUGUGGCCUUGAGUAAGUUAAGGAAUCUCUCUGCGCCUUAGCUGUGGAAUUGGGAUAAAAACAGUAUCUACUUCAAAAGGCAGUUAUCAGGAGAGCUCUGGCAUGCAUAAGCACUGUACUAAGUUUAUAGCUAUUUUAAUGAUAAUAAAAACAAAGGCUUAUCAGAGGUGUUACCCUCUUAGUGGGGAACUGGCUACAUAAUGAGUUUAUGAACAUGUCCAGACUCCCACAAGGAAACGGAUUUGGGAUCAAAUCAAUGCCUGUGUAUCUCUUAAAGACAUGGCUUCUAACCUUGAGUGGGUCAACAGCUUUUGACUGUUAGUGUCAGGUCAUCAGGUCACCCAAACAGGAAGCCCAGGGUUAUGCAUACGACUCCCAGGAUGGCUGGAGACCCACAUCAAAUAAAAGUGUUGAAGAAUCUCUCUCUCUCACUCCCUUUCCCUUCCUCCCUCCCUCCCCCUCUCCCUCUCUCUGUCCCUCUCUCUCCUCCUCUUCCUCUCUCCCCCUCUCUCUCUCCUCCUCUCUCUCUCUCCCAUGUUAUUCUCAAGCAGGCUGUGGGAGGAUGAUGAAGAGCCACCAGCAGCUUCAGGCUUCCCUUCCGCCAACCCCCAGCAGUAGAAGAGCAGCCCUUCCUGGACCAUGAAUCACAUCCUCAACUCUGGUCUCUAAAGUCAAGAAGAGAAGUAGUGCUCUGAUUGGCCAGUGCUGGGUCACAUGCUCACCAACAGAGCCAAUGAGAAGUUACUCCCACCCGAUCUCAAGGAUUGAAUAUGGGGGAGGAGUGGUCCUCCAGGAGAAAUGCAGGUGCUGUUAUCAGAAGAAGGAAUGGGUGCUAGACAGGGAAAAACAACAGAGCCACCUGCUCCCACGUUUCUUCAAAGCUGCUGCUUGUCUGCGCCUCACCAAAACUCACCUCUGGCCUGAGGGUCUCUACAGGCUCCGAGGCUCCAUGCUGGCCAUUCCUCCAUUCGGUAAGGCCCAAACCAUGCCUACAUCUUUCCCCAGAACCAGCAACGUCUUUCCAGCUGCUCUACAAUGUCACCUGGAUUUAGACUUAAUAGUUUUGUCCUUUCACACACCUCCAUGUCCCAUCAAGUGCCAAGUUCUAUAGAUUCAGCCUCCAAAGCCAUGCUUACCCACCCUCUUCUGGGGAGAACCCUGGUCAGCAUCGCCGUACUUCUCAGAACUAUGGGGUAUUUAACUCACAGCCUCUGCUGCCAGAUCCAGGGUCUUCCGGCUCAGCCAGUAUCAGCCUCUGCUGCUGAAAAAUUCAGCGACUCCAUUUUGCCUAAAAAUUUAACUCCCAACCUCUCUGCCUGGCAUUCAGGGACCUUCCCACCUCCCAGAUGCUUGUCCACUUUUCCAGCCUUCCUGCUCCCUGAUGCCCAGUCAUAACUCCAGGCACCAGGCAAACCAACACCUCGUGCCAUUCCUCACAGUCACCACCAUUUGGCUCUGCCCUCCCCACUGCCAGGAACCUGUCUUCCUCGUUUUCCAUCCGGUAACCUCAUAAGGGGGCCUUCUUCCCACAACACUGGCUAUAGGGUCAGAGCCAAGCUCCAACACUGUCCUGAUGCACAACUUUAGACGAGCACAUUAGCCUUUCUGUCAGAUUUGUCAUGUGCAAAUGACAAUGACACCCAACUCACUGGAUUGAAGGGAAAAGUACCUCUCUAGGAAGCUCCCUUCGCAGAGCCUGGCACCCCGCAGGGGCUCUGUGAAUGAUGGCUUCACACGAUCAGCCACCAGACCCCAUGGUCCCGAUCCAAAUGCCAACUCUGCGAAGGCUUCGCUGAACGCCCCCUCUGAGACCUCUAUGUUAUGUAACUGGUCACAUACCUGUCCUUCCCCAAUUUGACUUGAUCGCCGAACUCCCUGAAGGGGAGGAGCACUCUCUUUCAUCUUUACAUUCCUAAAACACCUCACCUGGCCUUGCCCGCCUGGGAGGGGCUUGAAUCAUGCCCGGGAAAAUGACUCUGACAUCCCACAGUAUUCCUGCUCAUUAGCUGGUCAUCGGUUCAUUACACAGAGCUGACAGGACCCCGGCCCCAGGCACAUCCCUGGCUACAAGAUUCCAGACAGCCACCGUGUCUCUUCAUCAGCUCCCUAGGCUGUCACAGGAGAAUCCAAGUAUCACCUCCCACCAACUGCUACAGGAGGAUAAGAUAAGCAAACAGUGCCGGUUGCUGUUGAAGCAAACACACAGUGCCACACACCCAGAAGAACCCCGCCUAACAAAGCA